rnacentral:rRNA from 2 species
UGUUUGAUGUUCUAACGUGGACCCGUGAUCCGGGUUGCGGACAGUGUCUGGUGGGUAGUUUGACUGGGGCGGUCUCCUCCUAAAGAGUAACGGAGGAGCACGAAGGUUGGCUAAUCCUGGUCGGACAUCAGGAGGUUAGUGCAAUGGCAUAAGCCAGCUUGACUGCGAGCGUGACGGCGCGAGCAGGUGCGAAAGCAGGUCAUAGUGAUCCGGUGGUUCUGAAUGGAAGGGCCAUCGCUCAACGGAUAAAAGGUACUCCGGGGAUAACAGGCUGAUACCGCCCAAGAGUUCAUAUCGACGGCGGUGUUUGGCACCUCGAUGUCGGCUCAUCACAUCCUGGGGCUGAAGUAGGUCCCAAGGGUAUGGCUGUUCGCCAUUUAAAGUGGUACGCGAGCUGGGUUUAGAACGUCGUGAGACAGUUCGGUCCCUAUCUGCCGUGGGCGCUGGAGAACUGAGGGGGGCUGCUCCUAGUACGAGAGGACCGGAGUGGACGCAUCACUGGUGUUCGGGUUGUCAUGCCAAUGGCACUGCCCGGUAGCUAAAUGCGGAAGAGAUAAGUGCUGAAAGCAUCUAAGCACGAAACUUGCCCCGAGAUGAGUUCUCCCUGAGACUUAGAG